UGUGAUGGGGAGGUCUACGUUCCACAUAAGUGUUAACUCCCUUAAAUAACACAAGCAUUCAAAAGAAGUGCUCCUUUGCCGUUUGACGGAUCACAACACAACAGCUCAUCUGUCUCCAGAAGUAGUUCUGCAGUGAGCUGAGUUCCUGCUAAGACCUGAUGCAUCCUCAAGAUUGUAAAUAACGUAAAUAACGAUGGAGCAAAGGAAGAACCAAAUAACAUCACAGAGAUCACAGCUGUUAAUCAUUUGGAGCAAAGCGUCUUGCCAUUGAGGACUUUAUUUUGAUACAGUCCAGAAACAAGAACGGUGGUACUUGGAGUAAGGUCGUUGAGUGGCCUUGACACACACUCUGAAGAAUAAGGAAGCAGACCAUUAAAAAGAUUUAGCAAAAAUUGUCAACUGGAGAGGUGUGAAAAGGAAGAAGCCUGGAUCUUAAGAGGGGUGUGAUUGGCUGUUAGAAGAAAUCCAAAGUUGAGCCAUCUCACAGAGGCACAAAAUCACUUUUUCGGACUUUGUCUUCCACUUUUCCACGCUGGUGGAAAGAUGUUCCGAGCUCCACCCAAGGCAGCUGUUUCUCUAGCUACUUUCAAGAAACAUCUGAAGACGCAUCUCUUUCGUGACCACAUGACCCAAUCCUACUAAUGCACUAACUGUUUUGCUUCUACCUAAAAAACACUGUCUCUCUCCUUCCUCCUUACUUGUCAUUUUGAAAGAUAGCUUACAAACUUGUUUCUUUUAUUUUUAGAUUGCUUUUAUU